AGAAUUCUAAUUCUAAUAGACGUCAAAAUGCUAAAACUAUAAAAUAUAGAAUUCUAAUUCUAAUAGGCAUCAAAAUACUAAAACUAGAAUUUUAUUAUUCUAACCCUAACAUAGAAAGAAUAAGUAAGACAAGUCCAUAAUUGAAGAGAAAAAUAUCCAAAAGUAAAGCAAGGUCGGGUCUUUCUUCAGCUUAUUACCUGACAGAGAACAGAAAAGCAAUUGGAAAAAACAUCAACAGGGGCAGAGGACCGAGGGCGAGACAUGAGUUUGGCGCAAACAAGAGAGUGAUGAGAGAAAGUAUUGAUUUGAAAGGCACAGUAGAAGCAACAUAUCUGUCUUUUUACUCCUUUAUCCUUAAGGCAUUGAGCAAAUUAUUAGAACAGAGCACAGCAGUACAACUCAGAUCAGAGCGCACCAACUCGAUUGGAAACCUAAUCUUGUCCAAACCAAGCUUUGAGAAGGAAGAAAGAAACUAAGAAACCAAUAACUUGUUUCCUCUUGUCCGGUUAUUUACUAUUUUAUUUUUAGGGU
rnacentral:lncRNA from 1 species